rnacentral:rRNA from 1 species
GAUUAGGCAUGCAAGUCGAACGAGGGAGUGUUUCGAAAGGGACACAAACCGAGUGGCGUAAGGGCGAGUAAUGCAUUGAUAACCUGCCUUUGAGAUGGGGAUAACAACGUCUCGCAAGAGACUUCCGAAAGGGUUGCUAAUACCCAAUAAGACUGUUGGUGCGGAGGUGCUGAGAGUCAAAGGUCUGGAGUGAAAGCUCCAUUUGCUCAGAGAGGGGUCAAUGUCCUAUCAGCUAGUUGGUAGGGUAAAGGCCUACCAAGGCGAAGACGGGUAGCCGGCCUGAGAGGGUGGUCGGCCGCAUUGGGACUGAGACACUGCCCAGACUCCUACGGGAGGCUGCAGUCGAGAAUCUUUCGCAAUGCCCGCAAGGGUGACGAAGCGACGCCGCGUGUGCGAAGAAGGCCUUCGGGUUGUAAACCACUGUCGGGAGUUAAGAAAGGUGUACGGGUAAAUAGUCCGUGCAUUUGACAAAAGCUCCGGAGGAAGCCACGGCUAA